CUUCCGGGAAUUCGAGGGCCCAAAGAGGCGGCGGGUGGGAUCACCGGCCCAUUCCGUCCAGCUUGCGGGGGUCUCCGGAAUCUGUGGGCCCAGAAUGUACCCUUCCCACCCUCCGGGGGGGUUCGACGGUCGGACACCGCCCAGACCCUCUGGCCCCGGCCCCGCCCUCGCAGGGGUUCCAAAGUUCUGACUCUCCGACGCUCGGCCCCGCCCCUAGCCUUGCCGGGACCCCGGCCGAGUGGGCGCGAACAGAGACAGGCGGACACGACGCUGGCUCAGAAACUUUAACCAAACAGUUGUGGGGCCGCGCCCGCCCGGCCGGUCAGCCAGCUGUCCACGUUGGCCACCGUCAGUCAGUUGUCCUCGUUGGUCACCAUCCUGGCCAGGUAGUCUGAGUGCCGGAUUCCGAAGGUCCAGCCACGAGGCUUCCGGUGCUGCAGGCCCAGGAGACGCCGCUGACCUCGCGGACCCAGCCGUCCCGCUACGCGCUGGGACCCCUGUACCCCCGGGGAACGCUGAUCCCCUUCCUCGGACCUUAGACCCUCAGCCACCGGCUCUGACCCUUGACCCUGGAAUCCAGACCACCUGGUCCACGUUGUAGGCUGCGGGCCCUGGGUUCAGAGUGUUGUCUUGGGGAGUUGAAGUCCGCGGUAGCAUCGUGAACUGGGGGGCCCGGGACUUGUAGACCCCAGGGUUCACCUGAUGGUAGGCGCAGGGGCCCGGGGUCUGCAGGAGGGCGGAAGGGGUGUGGGUCUGGCCUCCAUUCCCCACCGACGCGAGGUGCGGUCCUCCCCGUUGAUCCCUCGCUAUGCUGAGCCCACCGGCCCCUCUCCCACCUUGCUGAGGUCCUCGAAGCAGCUGCCCACUGUGCUGCGGCCGUAGAUGGAGUACGUUGGGGCGGAGACUUUGCCGAUGACGCGCGGGCCCAGGAGCGAGGGCACAGUGUAGGACCCAGGACCUGGGAAGGAGCCAGCAAGGGGUCGGCUGGGGCAGGCACAGCGGGCCUGUCCCGGGAUCCCCGGACUCUGGCACGGGCGGGACGGUGGGAUGGGCCGCAGGGCAGAAUGCCGCCCUCACCCCUCCCCAAGCUUCAGUACAGCCAUCCCGGAAUUAGACAAAUCUGCAGACAAAAAACAGGUAUGGGAAUAAAGGAAUUGAAUACUACAAACAGCAAGCUCAAUUUAACUAUAUGUAGAGAGAGAGUUUUGCAUCUAUUUAAGCCCAUAUUGGCACAAAAUAAUCAUGUAAGUUGAGUUAAAGAGAUAUAAUAGGACAUAUAAUUUGAUUACAGUUCAAUACAAUUCUAAGAAAGUAAUAAAAUGUAAAAAAGAGACAAAUAUUUUGAAAUGAACAGGUCCCUACAAACUAGGGUUUCCUAUUUAAAAAAAGAAGUUAACAAAUCCUUUAAAAAAAUCUCUGGAUGAAAAAGAGACUUGUCUGACGUUGUAAACUAACUAUAUAUAAAACACUGCAAAGGUAGAUUCCCUUCAUAUCCAACUCCCAAAGGAUGCAGCUAAGGCUGUAGUCUGAAGAAAAUGUAUAGCCUUAAAAAUAAUUCCAUUAUUUUAUUUUAUUUUUAACUUUUUCCCCUGGGAGCAUAGAUUCAAGUUGCCCUGAAUAUACACUCCCAGUAACUUCAUUAUUAAUGAAGAAAAAUUUAAAGAAACUUAGUGUUUAUGUUCCAGUGGAAGAGAGAAUAAGUAAAAGAAUGAAACAGGCACUAACACAAACAAAAUAGUAGAAAGGAUAAAUAAAUACAAUAGAUAUUUUUUUAAAAAAGACAAGUAGAUUAACACUCCAGUGAGCUUGAUCAAAGAGGAAAAGUAUACAAGAUUAAGAAUGAGAAAACAAGAUACCAAUCUAAAAGAGGCUAAAAUAAUUUAAGAGCUUUCAUUGUGUGAGUCUUGAGACAAAUUUAAAAACCUGGAAGAAAUGGGUGAAUUUUUCAGCAAAACGUUACAUAAUGAACCUAAGAAGUAGAACAAUUUAAUAGACAAUUUUCUAUAUGUAUUCUGUAUGUAUUCUAAUUUCAGUUAGAAAUUAUAUUUGGCAAUGAGUAACAACCUCCCCUACAAACAAACAAACACCACCUCCAACCAAUUGAUUAAAUACCUGGGAGUAUUUUCCGGGACCCAGGUAAAAGACGUCUGGAAGUAAGUGGCCAGCCUGGCCUCUGGCUCCAUGAAGCCUUUAGAGAGCAGGCUUCUUACUUCCAUCCUCAGUCCUUACAGUUGCAAGAUGAAUGUCCCACCUCUGGCCCACGCUUCAUGUUCCAGAAGAGAAGAACAGCAGUAAAGGGCGUCAACCUAAUAACAGAGAGAGGUUUGCCAAAGAUCUUGCGUUUAUUAGAGAAUGAGCAGAAGCCCUGCAAUGCGGAAUAUGCACGUCAUGCCAACCACGGGCACACUGGAGCAGCUUGAGAUAUAGCAAAAAAAUUCUACGCUUCGUAUGGAAACAGAGAAGACCCCAUAUAGCAAAAACAAUCUUAAGCAAAAAGAACAAAUUAGGAGGCAUCAAUUUACCA